CCCUCAGCCUGUCACUAGGCAGACUGAAUCUGUCAAGCCUAUCACAACUAGGCGCGGGAAAGCUCUUGCUCUCUCUAUAAAACAGCUACCCCUCCUGCAUGCAAUUGAGGGUUCCCGAACAUUUGGAAGGCAGAACACGAGCCAGGUUCUGAGGGCUGAUCAUCCGAGGACCCCCUCCCGCUCACUGAAUCUACCGAAUCUUUUGCAGAGCGUAACGAAUAACGAAUAUGCUGUUGUCUCUGUUGUCUCUUGUAUGUCUGAUAAAUAAAGAAGCCUCCCUGGAACAGAAGAAUACUCUGAUUUCGAGCUGGAAUAUAUCUACAACCGACAAGAGACUGGUAGAGCUACCCAAAAAGGGCACAAUGUUGUUUUUCUUUAAAUUGCAUAAACUGUAUAAUGGGCAAUAAGGGAAUUGACAGUUCUAUUUCUAGCAGCUGGCAGUGUUAUCAUCACCCUGUGAAAACAGUGCACUGAUACUGCUGGUAGUUCCAGAUUCUCAGUGUUGUGGAUGCAAUUGCUUUAACGAUAAGGAGAUGUCCCCUUACUUUGCCCCUGUAAGUAAGCAGCUUUAGCAAGCUAAAUAAACUGAAACACUGUCCGG